rnacentral:lncRNA from 8 species
AGCCAGUGAGCUAUCGUGUUUGCGAUUUGCAGACCCACUGAAUUCUAAUUUCAAAGCUGUGGCAAGUUUAGCAUAGUCAUUUAGCACGUGUUGCUGUUGUAGACGAAUGAACCUCGUCACGUGUCUAUUCGACGUUCGCUUCAACAGGUAAACCCUGUCAGAACCCAUAGCGUUCGGGUAGCCAUCCAACACGUCCUCUAUGUCAGCUAGGAAUGUCUCAGUAUCGUUUGGCUGUUAUCUUUUAUUGAUUCAGUCCAGCCUGAAAUCUCCCCGACUGACUCAAUGGGAGGGGUCUCCAGGGGCCACCAGUGGCCCGAGGUGUUCAGGGGCUACAGCUUCACCAUCACCAGCUCCACUCAGCCACAGUACCCAGGAGGCUCCUUCCUCCUCACGUUCACCGGCUCCAACAGAACCCAUACCCAGCCAGCUGUCAAUCACUCUGCUGCCUUCCUCUUCCCUGCUGCAGAUGACUCCCACCAAGGGAACUACAGCUGUGUUUAUGAGAAUGAUGUUUUCUUUCAUGACUUCUCCUCUGAGAGUGAGCUCCUCUCCCUCACCAUCACAGCCUCUCCUCUGCCAGCCUUCAUCAUCAUCAUUGUUGUAGUGGUGCUGAUCCUACUGACAGCCAUCACCACCUCCUACCUGUACUACAAGCCCACCAGGAGGCAGAAGAGAGUGAACAGGGUGAGCAGCAUGGAUCUUUAUGUCAAUGCCAUGGAGAUGGUCUCUCUGAGCUCCAGAGCUGAAGCUGGACCGGGAGAGGAGAGAGCAGCCCAGGGGACGGAGUAGGAGUAGAAUGAAGCUGACCCUACAUGCUGAUCUUAGGUCAGUUUUGUGUUUUAAAUGGAUGGUCAGCAGUGGACUGGUGUUUAAAAUGUGGUGACAAACCUGAAGUUGUUCUAAUUUUAAUAACAAGUUCAGAAUUAGUUUCUCUUUCUAGAACCUUGGAAGAAAUCUAAAAGGAGUGAUUGCAACCACCAUUAUCAAAUAAAAUCAAAUCAAAUCAAAUUUAUUUUUAUAGCCCUUCGUACAUCAGCUGAUAUCUCAAAGUGCUGUACAGAAACCCAGCCUAAAACCCCAAACAUCAAGCAAUGCAUGUGAAAGAAGCAUGGUGGCUAGGAAAAACUCCCUAAGAAAAACUCCUUAGAAAGGCCAAAAACCUAGGAAGAAACCUAGAGAGGAACCAGGCUAUGAGGGGUGGCCAGUCCUCUUCUGGCUGUGCAGGGUGGAUAUUAUAACAGAACAUGGUCAAGAUGUUAAAAUGUUCAUAAAUGACCAGCAUGGUCAAAUAAUAAUAAUCAUAGUAGUUGUCGAGGGUGCAACAAGCACGUCCGUUGAACAGGUCAGGGUUCCAUAGCCGCAGGCAGAACAGUUGAAACUGGAGCAGCAGCACGGCCAGGUGGACUGGGGACAGCAAGGAGUCAUCAUGCCAGGUAGUCCUGAGGCAUGGUCCUAGGGCUCAGGUCCUCCGAGAGAAAGACAGAAAGAGAGAAAGAGAGAGAGCAUAUUUAAAUUCACACAUGACACCGGAUAAGACAAGAGAAAUACUCCAGAUGUAACAGACUGACCCUAGCCCCCCGACACAUAAACUACUGCAGCAUAAAUACUGGAGGCUGAGACAGGAGAGAUCAGAAGACACUGUGGCCCCAUCCGAUGAUACCCCCGGACAGGGCCAAACAGGCAGGAUAUAACCCCACCCACUUUGCCAAAGCACAGCCCCCACACCACUAGAGGGAUGUCUCCAACCACCAACUUACCGUCCUAAGACAAGGCCGAGUAUAGCCCACAAAUGAUUCCUUUUAGUUUGGUUUUUACCACCAGAGAAACAUGGGGUUCUGGGUAACAUGGGGUUCUGGGUAACAUGGGGUUCUGGGUAAUAUGGUGUUUUUGGGUAACAUGGGGUUUUGUCCUUUUUAGAGAAUAGCUCAAUUGCAUCUGUUUUGUGUUCCAGAAUGUAUUAAAAACAGUACUUUUUGCUUUUGUCUUAAUGUCUUUAUCUUAUUUAGUGUCUCUUAGAUUCUUUAUCUUAUUUAGUGUCUCUUAGAUUCUUUAUCUUAUUUAGUGUCUCUUAGAUUCUUUAUCUUAUUUAGUGUCUCUUAGAUUCUUUAUCUUAUUUAGUGUCUCUUAGAUUCUUUAUCUUAUUUAGUGUGUCUUAGAUUCUUUAUCUUGAAGUGUUUCUGUUAUUAGUCCAUGUAUUAUUAUAGUCAUCUGGUCAUUCUUUGUAAAAGAAUUUAAAGUAAAAGGGUCAUCUUUUCCUCAAGUCGUUUUGGUUUGUUGUUGUUUACCUCUCAUGAUGUUAUUAAUUAUAAAUGUCAUGAUAUUGAUUAUGAUGUAGAUUAUUGUUAUGAUGUUGUUAGUAGUAUAUAGAUAAUGAUGUUAUUGAUUAUAAAUGUUAUGAUAUUGAUUAUUGAUUAUGAAGUAGAUUAUUGUUAUGAUGUUGCUCUCUAAACUGUCAUGUAAUCAACUGAAUGCUUUUAAUAAAAUGACAGGCUGUCAGUCUUGUGUGAUUCUCCUCUUGGACAGACUACAACAUACAGUAUGAAUUAACUGAGAUCAGUCUUGUGUGAUUCUCCUCUUGGACAGACUACAACAUACAGUAAGAAUUUCAUGCUGAAACCCUCAUAGCCAAGUGUGUGUGUGUAUCUGUGUGUUCAGAACUCUAGUGGUAUUAAAACAUGAUCUGACUAGGUAGUGUCCACUCCAGUACAUGUGUAGUGUAGGAUGUGUGUCUGUGUACUCCAGUACAUGUGUAGUGUAGGAUGUGUGUCUGUGUAUUCCAGUACAUGUGUAGUGUAUGAUGUGUGUCUGUGUAUUCCAGUACAUGUGUAGUGUAGGAUGUGUGUCUGUGUACUCCAGUACAUGUGUAGUGUAGGAUGUGUGUCUGUGUACUCCAGUACAUGUGUAGUGUAGGAUGUGUGUCUGUGUACUCCAGUACAUGUGUAGUGUAGGAUGUGUGUCUGUGUACUCCAGUACAUGUGUAGUGUAGGAUGUGUGUCUGUGUACUCCAGUACAUGUGUAGUGUAGGAUGUGUGUUGAUGCCUAAAGAGACUCUGUGUUUAACACACUUCAACCAGACGACUGUAGAAGCUUCUGUUUUAUUGAAGAACAACCGUUGUCUCCAUUGAACACAAUGUUGUGGUCAAGGUAGUUGUUUUAUGACUGACUGAAAGAGGGAGACUUUCAGAGUAUUUCUUCGUUGGUCAAAUGUUGGUUGGCUGAAUGUUGGGUCUAGAUGGUUGGUCGUUGGCUUGAUGGCUGAAUGUCAGGUUUGUUGAACAUAGAUCCUUGUUGAUAUCAUGUUAGUUCUCAUUAGGUUGUAUUUUGGUGGUUUUUGGUUAGACUGGUUCCUAGGAGGAGGAAGAGGAGGCUGAGCUGUGACAGUCUGACAUCAGUCUCCUGUUACCUGCUGAGAGAGAGAGAAGAGAGAGAGAGAGAGAGAGAGAGAGAGAGAGAGAGAGAGAGAGAGAGAGAGAGAGAGAGAGAGAUGCAUGAGAUAUUUGCUGUACAUAGCAUCUUAACCUCUCUAGGGCAGGCGGGACAAAUUCGUCCCACCUACGUAACAGCCACUGCCAGCCUGUGGCGCGAUUUUCAAAAUCUUCAAAAUCCUAUUACUUCAAUUUCUCAAACAUAUGACUAUUUUACAGCCAUUUAAAGAUAAGACUCUCGUUAAUCUAACCACACUGUCCGAUUUCAAAAAGGCUUUACAACGAAAGCAAAACAUUAGAUUAUGUCAGCAGAGUACCAAGCAGAAAUAAUCAGACACCCAUUUUUCAAGCUAGCAUAUAAUGUCACAAAAACCCAGAAGACAGCUAAAUGCAGCACAACCUUUGAUGAUCUUCAUCAGAUGACAAUCCUAGGACAUUAUGUUAUACAAUACAUUCAUGUUUUGUUCAAUCAAGGUCAUAUUUAUAUCAAAAAACAGCUUUUUACAUUAGCAUGUGACGUUCAGAACUAGCAUAAUGGUAAAUCAGGGUCGCGUGCAUGGCGCAA